ACAUCACAGGCUGGGGAGUUGGCUCAAACUAACAGCCCAAAGAGUUGUGCAAAGUUAGCAGUCAUUUCAUGCAGACAAAAUAGUGUUUGUUAGUGUUCAGAUUUAUCGAUUGGUAUAUUCUUUUAAGUACUUCCUGUAUCUUCUUGCAGCCACUGAGAGGGUACUAAUGACAAUUAACAUUUUCAUUUGUACAUUAAUAUAGUGUUACACAUAUAUGCAUUACAGUUUUGUCGUGCAAUCUUAGGUGCAUUAAAUUAGUAGCAUUACGUUAAAAACUAACAUUCAUGUGAAUGUUUACCACCAUUUUUUUAUUUUUUUUAUUUAUUAAUGAAUUAUGCUAAAGUUGGUAGAAACCUCUGGAUUUCCUAAUUAUAGGUUCGAACAUCUGAAGAGUUACCACCAUCUUUCCAUCUAUACAGAAGUCGCCAGUAACAAUUGCUGUUCGCUUAUGAAUAUUAUUGUUCGAGCAUCUGAACGUUUUUGAGGUCAAUAUCCACUGCUAUUGGUUUCUUAAUACAACAUCAUGUUUUCAAUAGUAGUGAUGAUGAAUCGGUGUGUACCAGCUACAAUACAAUUCACAGAAAGAGAUGAGUACCAGAGGUGUCAAGAGAAGACAAGGUGUGUAUCACAAGUCACAUAUUAUACAUUAUUUUUGCAGUUACUCUUAUUGUCGAGUAUUGCUAGAAUAUAUUAUUGUAUAGUUUGUGUUACUUUUGUGGUAGAGUAUUGCAAUUAGAGAUUGAUUA